GACAGAGGGUGCAAACGUUGUUCGGAAUUACUGGGCGUAAAGCGCGUGUAGGCAGCUUCGCAAGUCGGGUGUGAAAGCCCUGGGCUCAACCUAGGAAGUGCACUCGAAACUGCGGAGCUUGAGUCUCGGAGAGGGUCGCGGAAUUCUCGGUGUAGAGGUGAAAUUCGUAGAUAUCGAGAGGAACACCGGUGGCGAAGGCGGCGACCUGGACGAUGACUGACGCUGAGACGCGAAAGCGUGGGGAGCAAACAGG
rnacentral:rRNA from 1 species